UAGGGAAUCUUCGGCAAUGGGGGCAACCCUGACCGAGCAACGCCGCGUGAGUGAAGAAGGUUUUCGGACCGUAAAGCUCUGUUGUAAGUCAAGAACGAGUGUGAGAGUGGAAAGUUCACACUGUGACGGUAGCUUACCAGAAAGGGACGGCUAACUACGUGCCAGCAGCCGCGGUAAUACGUAGGUCCCGAGCGUUGUCCGGAUUUAUUGGGCGUAAAGCGAGCGCAGGCGGUUUGAUAAGUCUGAAGUUAAAGGCUGUGGCUCAACCAUAGUUCGCUUUGGAAACUGUCAAACUUGAGUGCAGAAGGGGAGAGUGGAAUUCCAUGUGUAGCGGUGAAAUGCGUAGAUAUAUGGAGGAACACCGGUGGCGAAAGCGGCUCUCUGGUCUGUAACUGACGCUGAGGCUCGAAAGCGUGGGGAGCGAACAGGAUUAGAUACCCUGGUAGUCCACGCCGUANCGAUGAGUGCUAGGUGUUGGAUCCUUUCCGGGAUUCAGUGCCGCAGCUAACGCAUUAAGCACUCCGCCUGGGGAGUACGACCGCAAGGUU
rnacentral:rRNA from 1 species